rnacentral:rRNA from 1 species
GAUGAACGCUAGCGGCAGGCCUAACACAUGCAAGUCGAGGGGUAGCAGGAUUAAGCUUGCUUAAUUGCUGACGACCGGCGCACGGGUGCGUAACGCGUAUGCAACCUACCUUAUACUGGGGUAUAGCCCGGAGAAAUUCGGAUUUAUCCCCCAUAGUACUAAUGAAUCGCAUGGUGUAUUAGUUAAAGCAUUGCGGUAUAAGAUGGGCAUGCGUCCUAUUAGCUAGAUGGUGAGGUAACGGCUCACCAUGGCUACGAUAGGUAGGGGGCCUGAGAGGGUGGUCCCCCACACUGGUACUGAGACACGGACCAGACUCCUACGGGAGGCAGCAGUGAGGAAUAUUGGUCAAUGGGCGCAAGCCUGAACCAGCCAUGCCGCGUGCAGGAAGAAUGCCCUAUGGGUUGUAAACUGCUUUUAUUUGGGAAUAAACCUCUUUACGUGUAGAGAGCUGAAGGUACCAAAUGAAUAAGCACCGGCUAACUCCGUGCCAGCCGCCGCGGUAA